UACGUAGGGUGCGAGCGUUGUCCGGAAUUAUUGGGCGUAAAGAGCUUGUAGGCGGUCUGUCGCGUCUGCUGUGAAAAUCCGGGGCUCAACCCCGGACUUGCAGUGGGUACGGGCAGACUAGAGUGUGGUAGGGGAGACUGGAAUUCCGUGGUGAUAGCGGUGAAAUGCGCAGAUAUCAGGAGGAACACCGAUGGCGAAGGCGGGUCUCUGGGCCGA
rnacentral:rRNA from 1 species